UACAGAGGUCCCAAGCGUUUGUUCGGAUUCAUUGGGCGUAAAGGGUGUGUAGGUGGCGCCGUAAGUCGGGUGUGAAAUUUCGGAGCUUAACUCCGAAACUGCAUUCGAUACUGCGGUGCUUGAGGACUGGAGAGGAGACUGGAAUUCAUGGUGUAGCAGUGAAAUGCGUAGAGAUCAUGAGGAAGACCAGUGGCGAAGGCGGGUCUCUGGACAGUUCCUGACACUGAGACACGAAGGCCAGGGGAGCAAACGGG
rnacentral:rRNA from 1 species